CUGCAAAAGUACAAAAUCCUUCUUCUUCCUCCUCCAAACUUUGAACCUCCAAACUUUCUUCACCACCGUUUCUCGGCGGAAAAAAUGAACUUGAGAUUGAUCCCCACCGCUACCGUCUGCCCUUCAAUCUCAUCUCCACCACCGCCGUUCUUACUUAGGUCAAAACUUUCGUAGAAAGCCGAGCAAAUUUGAGAAGAAACUUGAGUUUAAUUCCGAAAUCAGGGAGACUAUUGCAACCUUAAGUGCUAAAAAGACAAUUCAAAAGGAUGUACUACACCAUGCUUUGAGCUACGGUGCUUAAUGCACGAAUCAGGAGUCUACAAGAUCGACUGAACAUAAUCAGUAAAUCAUUGAGAGGUAGCUCAACAUCUGCAACUCUUUUCAACUACAGUGAUUUGCAGAGAGCAAGAGCAGUUGAUAAAUCUCGUCAUUGCAGAAAUCAUACCAUCCAGAUAGAUGAUAAUGCACUCCAAGAAAAACAAGGUCAAAAUAAUGACUCUUAUGGGAAUGCAAAUGUAAGGCUAGUUUCUGAUACUGCGGCCUCCCACUCUAACUUCUAUCCAAAUAACGUAUGAAGCUGAAGAACAACAUAGAGUAUUUGUGUUGUGUAAAUUCUAAGUGAAUAUAUGAUUGCAACAAAACAAGGAGAUGAAAUUGCCGUUUUUUUUUGUUGUACGUACAUAAAUUAGGUUUAUUGUAGUUGUAAUAUUCUUUCUGUUUUCAAAACAAUUGGAAUAUGUAUUACAUUUAGUUAUAGCAUUGGUGGCAAUGGCUUGUAGUAUAUGAUAGUGGCAUGGUGUUAAUGGAAGUUAUAUUGUGGUAUGCUAGC